CCUACGGGAGGCAGCAGUGGGGAAUAUUGGGCAAUGGACGCAAGUCUGACCCAGCAACGCCGCGUGAAGGAAGAAGGCUUUCGGGUUGUAAACUUCUUUUAAGGGGGAAGAGCAGAAGACGGUACCCCUUGCAUAAGCCACGGCUAACUACGUGCCAGCAGCCGCGGUCAUACGUAGGUGGCAAGCGUUGUCCGGAUUUACUGGGUGGAAAGGGCGUGCAGCCGGAGAGACAAGUCAGAUGUGAAAUCCACGGGCUCAAACCGGGAACUGCAGGUGAAACUGUUUCCCUUGAGUGUCGGAGAGGUAAUCGGAAUGCCUUGUGUAGCGGUGAAAUGCGUAGAUAUAAGGAAGAACACCAGUGGCGAAGGCGGAUUACUGGACGAUAACUGACGGUGAGGCGCGAAAGCGUGGGGAGCAAACAGGAUUAGAUACCCGGGUAGUC
rnacentral:rRNA from 1 species